AAUAGAUACCCGGGUAGUCCAUGCCGUAAACGAUGUCUACUAGCCGUUGGGGCCUUUGAGGCUUUAGUGGCGCAGCUAACGCGAUAAGUAGACCGCCUGGGGAAUACGGUCGCAAGACUAAAACUCAAAUGAAUUGACGGGGGCCCGCACAAGCGGUGGAGCAUGUGGUUUAAUUCGAUGCAACGCGAAGAACCUUACCUGGUCUUGACAUAGUAAGAACUUUCCAGAGAUGGAUCGGUGCCUUCGGGAACUUACAUACAGGUGCUGCAUGGCUGUCGUCAGCUCGUGUCGUGAGAUGUUGGGUUAAGUCCCGCAACGAGCGCAACCCUUUUCCUUAUUUGCCAGCGGGUUAAGCCGGGAACUUUAAGGAUGCUGCCAGUGACAAACUGGAGGAAGGCGGGGACACGUCAAGUCAUCAUGGCCCUUAGACCAGGGCUACACACGUGCUACAAUGGUCGGUACAAAGGGUUGCUACCUAGCGAUAGGAUGCUAAUCUCAAAAAGCCGAUCGUAGUCCGGAUUGGAAUCUGCAACUCGACU
rnacentral:rRNA from 1 species